rnacentral:lncRNA from 1 species
CCCCAGAUGAAAUACUGGAAGCCCCCGUGUUUGAUUGCUUGUUUGAGUACUUCUUGUUCUCGAAUUCAUCGGCUGAACUCGAAAACAGUGAUUCGACGUCGCUUUGUGCCUUGGCGAUUGAUUUUUUUUCAACGGUGGCAGCUGAUACUUGGCAUGUGAUUCGAGGUCGUUGUUUUUUCGUGAAAUUGAGUGAGUUUGUGAAGGAUUUUGCGGAUGCAAAUGGUGUGAAACGAGGCUGCAAAGUGCUGAAGAAGGAGGAGCGGAGGUUGGUGGUCGUGGUUGUUACGUCCAUGUUUGGAUAGCCAGAAACCGAAAGACAGUGAAGGAAAAUUUCUGGGUAUUGGAGGGCCAAGUGUGAGUUUCUCAGAGAAACACCUUCACUCUCAAGAGUCUCGACCUCAUGAAUUUUUUUAAGUAGAUAUUGGAGAUUUUUACAAGGGAAAAAUUUAAAUAAUAGGACAAAAAUAAAAAGAAAUAAUGAUAAAUUAGAAAUGGGAUUUUUUUUUUUUUGGUUUUUUGGGUUUUUUUUUCUUUUGUUUCUGCAUGAAAUUAAAUAUAUAAACAUGAAGAAUUGUUAAUCGACACAAAGAUCAUUCCAUUUUUAAUUUAAAUAGUUUUAAAAUUUUAUUACUUAUAUUAAUUAAGAAUGAUUAAAUAUAAUAGAUAAUUAUAUUAAAAAAUUAAAAAAGAGUAGGAGGUUAUAACUUAAUUGUAAAUUAUAUAUGCAUUAAUGAAAUACAUGCAUUUGCUCGCGUUUUAAUGAAAUAGAUGUUGAAAUAAAUAAAUAAAUAUUGAAGGAAUUAUAGCUUAUUUUUUAAUUAAUCGUAGCUCUUAAAAAUAUUUUUUAAUUUUUGUGGUUUAUAAAAAAAGAGAUAAAUAAAGGCGGAGACUGGAGACUGGUGAUAACGCCCGUAGUAGUCUUGUGGUGUAGAUUCUAUUAACGAGUGAUACCCUCUUCUCAUCAGGUGCCACGUGUAAGCUAUUGUGAGAUUAUCGUCGACAUGACUUGUGAGAUUUUUUUUCAAUUUUUAAAUAUUUUUAAAAAGUAAAUUACUAUAUCAUUUUCUUUCUUUUUUUUUGUUUUAUUACCAACAAAAAUUUUCAUUGAAAUUGAGAGGCUCCACAAUUACAUUGGAGCAUCCUGAUCCACAAAAUUUUAAAUAUUCUUUAUUCUUGCGUAUUAUUAUCUUUUAGUUUAUAUGUUGCUUUAUUUACUUGACUAUUUUUCAUAAAACUUUUAUAAUUUACAAGUGAGGUGUAUAAUAGAAUGAAUGUUUAAAUUUCUAAAUUUAAUAUCUUUAAAACCCAAUAUUAACAGUUUAACACUCCUUAGGGUAGGAUUAUGCAUUCUAAAAGUAUUUUGGAUUGAACAUUUUGAUUUUUAUCCAUUAAAUUUUUUUGAUCCAAUAAUAAGUGAGUGAGGGUAUAAAUGUAUUUUUAAUUAAAUUUUAUUAUUAAAUUAAAUAGAUCUUAUAAAUAAAAAUUUUAUUUAUUUUUUUAAGUCAUAUUUAGAAUAUGUUUCUUUUUCUUUUUCCUUUCCUACCAAUAGUGAAAUUGUUGUUGAAGAAUGUUAAAAUCCCUGGAAAAAUAUAUUGUUUAUGAUUAGGUGGGGAAGAGUCACAAAUUAUUGGUGAUGUUGUUCCUCAUAAAAGCAUAUCACAGAUUAACGUAACGAGUGAAAUAAACAAACAAGUCCAUUUUUUUUUUUAAAUUCAUAGUCUCUCCUUUUUUUUUUUUUCUCCUCCGCUGCUUGUAAAUCUUUAUCACAAAAUGCUUGACAAAUAAUAUUGAAAUAUUGGAAGAAAUUAAAUAUAAAAAUUUAGAGUGGAGCUAUUAGCACCCCUUGAAAACUCUCAUUAAACCCCUUUUUUAACCACCCCCAUCAUAUAAUUAGAAAAAUUAACAUAUUUAUUUUAAUUCCAUAGACAAUCUUAGCAAUAUUUACAAUAAAGAGAGCCAUGGAAUAAAUUUUUUUUUUUAUGAAAAAAGUAAGCAACAUAAUUAAGAAAAGACUAAUACUUUUAUUGCAUAAAUUAUAAACUCUUACUCGUCUGUGAAGUUUAAGAGUCCAAUCAUGGUAAUAUUCAUUAUCUGCACUAAAAAAAAUUACAUAAAGUCAAGAAAAAUACAAAUUAAUCAAAUGAAAAUACUUAACAUUAAUUAAUAAUAUAUUUUUUACAUUAAGUCCAAAAGUUUUUUUUUUCAUAGUCUUUUUUUUUCUCCCCCGCUGCUUGUAAAUCUUUAUCACAAAAUAUUUGACAAAUAAUGUUGAAAUAUUGGAAGAAAUUAAAUAUAAAAAUUUGUUCUGUAGUGGGCCGAUUAAGUGCUAUUUUCAUCUACGAUCGAGAUAAACACAAGAUGCUUGGGUGCCAUUUGUACAUGGAUUGGUCAUGCUAAAUGUAGGAGUCAUUGAGCCCAGUUAGUUGUUACGGGGCACCCAAAAGUUCUAGCCCAAGAGUUCGGAGUAAGAGACCAAAUAUUGGCGAACACUCGUCCCGUAACAUAAUUUUUGCAUUUAUAGGGCAAAAUUAUAGUAUCAUAGUGGUACUAUAUUACAGAGGGAUUCAACCAUUGAAUCUAGUCCACAGUGGUCAUCAGAGCUAGAUUUAAUGGCUAGAUCCAGCUGUGAUAUGGUAUUAUUGUGUUACCAUAGCUGGACCCGCAUUUAUAUGGGUUAUUAUUGUUGAAUUAGAUGGUCGUACAAACUUGUUAUUUGAUGAUAAUUAUUUCUGUUUUUUCUCUAAAUAAUAUAGGUUUAUUUUUAUUAAUCUCAUUGGCUCUUUAAAUUCAAUAUUUUUAAGUAUGGGAGCAAGCCUAAAUACUAAUGGUAAUCAUUGAUCAAAAGAAAAUUUACACCUGUCACCCUAGUUCAAGUGGCUUUUUUUUUUUAAUAAAUCUAUGUAAAAAUAGUUUUUGUAAAUUUAUACAAGAUUAAAGAAUAUAAACUAACUCAAUAUACUUUUCAUAUUUUACCAACACCAAACUUCAUGAUGUAGAACAUGAUUUUUGUACUUUUUCAGAGCUAUAACUUGAACUAUGAAGCUUAUGGAAAGACGAAUACAAGUAUGUAAACCAUGUUGUAAAUGGUCAGCAAAUUUUUUAGGAAUUCUAAUUUUUGGGUCUCAGAUUGUAGUUUGAAGAUCUUUUACCUAAUUUUUACGCUUUUUUCCAGAUUUCAAUUUUAUUUCUAGACAUCAUAAUUGCAUGCCCUUUUUUUUUAUUCUUUUUAUUUUAAUUAUUAUAAUUUUAUUAAAUAAUCUAUUUUGCCUCUUUUGAUAAUUUCGCUUUCUAUAUGUAAGAGAGAGUAAACCCUAGUUUGUCAGCAACUUUUGAUUAAGAAUCAAUUAAUCAUUAUCAUUUCAAACUUUGUUCUUCAUCGUUUUUGCAUCGUCAUUUUAGUUCUUAAAUUUUUUAAUCAAAAUAUGGUUUCAUGAGAAAUAUGAUCUAGAUUCUUUAAAAAUUGGAAAAUCAAUUUUAUUUUCGUACUUUCAAAAAAAAAUUAUUUUGGGAUAUGUAUAGUAUAAAGAUUAAAAGUUUUAUUAUGUGUAUGUGGAAUACUGGAAUAAAAGCUUAUGCAAUAACCAUUUUGGGCUGUAGCAAAUGAAUUUUAGGCCCAAAUUCUGGCCCACACUAACCUUUAAAUUCACACACUAUGAAGGCCCUGCCUCUAUUCUGCUUUGUCUGAGUUUAUUUUUCAAAUAAUAAUGUUUGUUUCAACAUCAUUUUUUUUUUAAAGUCUAGGGAUGAUUAGUUUUAUAUUUUCUUUACACAUAUAUACUUUAGGGUGUAUUUUUCCACAUAAUGUAUAUUUCAAAUUUAAUUUAAGAACUUAAGUUCGAGUCUAGUACUCUUUUUCUCUUUUUAGUUGUAUGUAUAUAAUUGAAUGGAAGUUGAUUUCUCUCCUGCUAAUUUGUGAGUAGAGCUGUUAUAUUGUUCCAAAUUUAUAAGGAUUGAAAGCUAGACUGUACGGUAGUAGUAUUGAUCUAAGCGAGUUCUAAUUGAAUUUUAAUUGUAAAUAUAUUAGUUGAAUUUUGUUAUAUUAAAAAAAAAAGAGUAAUCAAUUGGGCUAAAACGAACUACUGACUUUAUUAUUGUCUUUUUAAAAAAAAAAAAUCUUGAUUCAAUUACGGUAUGAAAUUAAGUUGAUACAAGCACAAUAGAAUCAUGAGAAAUUAAAACAAAUUGAUAAAAAAAAAAUAGAGAAUUGUUAAGUUUUAAAUAAUAAACAAAUUUAACAUACACAUGUACUGGAUUUAAAUGCAAGAAAUAUCCUAGAAAUGAUCAUUUUUGUUGUUGUCAUUUUAUCAAGACCCUCGAGAAUAUGUGAUUGUGAGUUUCUAAAUAAAGUUAUAAUCUAUUGAAAAUAUCACACAAAUAUAGAAUUAAAAUUUGUGAUGUGAUAUUCCAUAUCGCAGGUGUCUGCUCACUGUUUUAACGAGCCUUCAAUUAUUAUAUAAUAAGCUAUUAAGAGAUGGAAUAUGAAAGAUUAAAUAAUUGUGUGUGAUAGCAGAAGCCAGAGAAGUGAUUCCAAAAAGCAUGAUUAAAUCGACAACAAUCAUUCGGCUCCAAACUCACCACCUAGGCGCAUGACCAAAUUUACAAAACCCUAAAUAAAACAAUUAUUACACAUGUUGGUUAUAAAAUUUAAAUGGAUGAGUGACACAUGAUGUUGGAUUCAAAUAUUAAAAUUCUUAAUAUUAUUGUUUAAUGAAAUUUAUAAUUCAUUUUUAAUUUUUUAUUAAGACGUUAUUUGAUCUUUAUAAUAACAAUAAUCAUAUCGUCACUUGAUUAUCUUUUGUUAAAUUUAAUAUGAGAGCAGUGUAAUUAUUUUCAUGGAAAUGAGUAGAAAUAGCCCACACUUUUUUUAUUAUUAUUUUUGCCACUAUUUUAAAAAGUAUUGAGUUUAACUUGACAAGUUGGUAAAAUAAACAAGUUUUUUAUUGCCCUAAAAAAUUAACUAAGGAUAUGUUUGAUAUUACAGAAGUUAUUUAAGUAGAGAUUUAACUAAAAAAUUUAGUUGUUGUCAAUGAGAGUUUUUAUUAAAAAUUAUAAAAUUUUUUUAAUAGAUAAAUUUUUUAAAGUUCUGUUAUGAAAUAAAUUGUUCAAAUAAAUAAAUGAUAUUUUAGAUAUUUUAAUAUUAAAAAAUCUUUUCAAACUCUAUUCAAAAGCCUAAAAUUUGAACUUUUACUUCUAGGGACAAACAACUUAUUUGAUCUUUAAAAAUUUUAUUAAAAAAAUAACCGCACAAUAAAAAAAAUUAAAAAGAAAAUUUAUAAAAUCAAAUAAAUACUUAUAAUUAUUAGAGAAGUCAUAUUAUACAUAUACUAAUUAAAAGACGUUUGUAACAUGUAAAUAAAUAAAUUAUAUCAAAUGCAUUACGUAAGCCCAAAAAACAAAAAAUAUAUAUAUAUAACAUUUAAAAUCUUACAAGUUGCAAUAAAUUAAGAAGAGAAAAUUUGGGGCUUGAAUUGAGGGCGGUUAGAAGUUGUAUCCAGUAUUAAUUUGGCUUGUACCAAUUUGGUCAAAAUAUUUGACAACUAGUUCGAGUAAUCUGUCAUAUUUAGUAGAAGGAUUAUAUUAUUAUUAUUAUUAUUUUAUAAGCAGCAAAUAGAACUAUAGAAUGACUAAAGCUUUUUUUUUUUUUUUGGUCGGUCAAAAAAUAUAUAUUUAAAUGUAGAAACGUUUUUUAAAAAAUAACUAAUAUUAUGCUAAAAGAAAAAGUUUUUCAGUAAUUUAUUCUAUUUAAUUCAUUAGUGUACUUUUAACUUAAAAACAAAAUAAAAUUUGUAGGAAAAAAAAAAACUAGAGCCACUAUUUCUUGAGUUAGUUUGGAGACUUUUCUCAUCUAAAUUUUCGUGAGUGUAUAAUGAUCUUGUUUCACUUAUGUAUUUAUAAUAUAAUUUGAUUAUUUCACAUUAUUAUAUAAUAACAACCAACCAUUACCACUCCUGGUAUUUUAUGGAAGCUAGAUUAUCAGAAAAUAUUGUAUCGUUUUUAUUUUCUAAACAAACAAUUUUCUUAUUUUACUUGAUUAUAGAACAUAUAUAAAAUCAUUUAUAUUAUUUAAUUUUUCUUAUAGUAAAAUCUCUGAAAAACACAAAUGGGUAAAGAAAUCCAAUAAUUAAAAUUAGUCAUAAAAAAAAAAGAAAAUUACUAAAAGAUAUGAUGAGGGUUAAUGUUUUAUUACUUAAUUGAGUAGUGUUAUCUAUUCUAAAUUUUUUAUUUUAAAUAAAUAUUUAAAAUAAUAUGAUAUUUAUCAAUUAAUUGAUGAAAUAAUGUAAUUAAUUUACUUAAAUUUUAUAAAAAAAUAUUAAUUAAUUAAUAAAUAUCACGUUAUUUAAAAUAAUUAUUUGAAAUAAGAAUUUUAAGAUAAUGCAGAAUUAUUCAACUCUAUUAGACGAAGCGACAAAAGGGCGGGGAGGACAGCUGGCAAAAGCAGAUAAAGCCACGCCACCCAAAAAGGAACACGGCCGAAAGCGUGUCUGAAAGUGGCAGUUCCGUAAUUAAAAUAAAAAACACGAAUCCAUUUUUGUAAUUUUGUCGGAACGAUUGGCUGUUGCUCUUGCAUGCAAUCAAAUAUCUGACUCAGACGCGAACGAAUCUCUAUCGCGCUGUCAUUGCGCUGUUUCACACACUUUUCACGAUGGGAUAAUUACGAAUAUUUCCCUAUUGUUUAUAUUUUACUAAACAAAGAUACAAGUUUUUCAUUUGUUUUAGAUUGAAACCCGACCUCUCUUGAAAGGAUUAAAAUACUUUUCUCUUUUUUCCCCUUUUUUAACUAACAAGUAGGUAAUAGAAAGCUUUAAUAAUUUAAAUACAAUUUGUUCAUCUCAGUAGGGUCAAAGGAUGGCGAUUUUUGAGAUUAGCUCGUAAAUCUCAUAUGAAGUUAAUAUAAAAUUAGUGAGUUUAGACUUGUUAGAGAAUAUGUCUUAUUUUUCAAUAAGAAUUUCUUAAGAUAUUUGAUUCUUUAGUAGGAUUCCUAUUUAAAGAAUAAGUAAUUUUUCCUUAAGAAUUUGACUUAUUUAAGGAGGAAUACUACUAGUAUAAGAAAAUGAAUACUUUUUUUUUUACAAGAAAUAAUCACUAAAUAUAAGGAGGUUGGGUUCAUUUAUUUGUAUAACACAGCAAUCAGUUUUUUGCAAGUAUAUAGUUUAUAGUGCGAGAGAAAUAAUAGAUUUAUUGAGAGAUUUGGUGUUAUUAGAGUUUUAGAUGUGAGGAAAAAUACUAGAGUGAUUUUAAUAAAUUUUUCUCUCGUCGCCCUUGGAGGCCGUGGUUUUUCUCCAGUAUAAGAGAUUUGCACAUAAAUUUUUGUGUUGUGUGAUUGGUUCUUUUUUCAUCUAAUUUUUUAUUUAUUAUUUUGUUUGAUAUUUUUACUUGUAAGAUCUUGGGCAGGAUUAAAAAUUACCUGACAAGACUAAUAUAAAAUGACUCAAUUAUAUUAUUAUCUUGUCAAACUUAAACUAAUAGAAAUUCUAUCUAGUAUUUAAAGAAAAAAAAAAGAAAAUUCUAUCUAUUUACUUAUCAUAUCAAGGAUUUUAAUUUUUAAUCUAACACGACUGUUAAUUCAAAAUUAUGUCACUCAUUUAAUAUUUUUCUAAUAUAUUCUCAAAAGUUUUGCUUAUUUAAUAUAUUUUACAAUAUUUUUAAUUAUUAUCAAUCUAAAUUCUAAUUAGUUUUGGUCUAAAUAUAAUUAAAUAAUUUUUAAAAUAUGACAAAUAUAAUAUAUAUAAUUCUAUUUGUCAAAACAUAGCCAACCGACAUAACAUAAUUAAUUGAAUAGUUAACUAUUUUAUAAAUAAUUUGUUAGUUAAUUGUUUUAUAAAUAGUUUUUUAUGACAAGAAUUCUUAACCAAAAUCUGAAACAAAUUAUUAAAAGAUUAAUAUAAAUUCACAUUAUUAAUAUUUGAUGACAUAAUAUGAACAUAAUACACCAACGGCCAACUCUAAUGAGAUUUCAAUUAAGAAUCUAUUUCAUAAUUACGUCUUUAUUAGAGAAUAUAUAAAGGUUAUGGACCUGAAAGUUAUUGUACCAUUUGCACAGUUGAAGACUUGAAGUUUCUCAAAACUAGUUAAAAAGCACUUUAACUAAAAGCUGUCCAAAAGCACUUCUCUUUCUCGCUGUCUCUGCCCCUCGGGCUAUAUAUUAAAGGCUUCUUGUGCAUCUUUGUUCUUGUUAUCUCCAUCAGUACUGUACAUCAAGCUCUAAGCUUUAGCUCUCGCUUUUUCAACUUUCAAGACUUCAAAGCCUUCUCUUUUCAUUUCUAACAUCACAAUUAAUUAACAUGGAAGAUCGUAAGGAGGUAUUUGUUUCUCCAUCUCUCUCCAACUGUGUUUCUGGCUUUUUAAUUUCCUCAUUUGGGGUGUUUGUUUGCUGAGAAAGUUUAUAUAGGAAAGAAUGAGAAAAAUUUAUAUCUUUUGAGUUUUUGUUUAGCAUGUUAGUGAACUUCUGAUGAAUUUGCUAAUGAAAGAGCUUUUUUGUUUCUUUUUUUUUUCCUUUAAAGCAAGCAUUUUCCAAUUUCGGAUGAUUAAAAAUCCAGCUUUCAAAGAAUAUGAGUUUCCAGUUUUCACUUUCAGGUGGGUUUAAUUUGGUUGAAUUACUUGAAAAAAUUCUAAGCUUUUUUUCUUUUUGGGUAGAACAAAAAAUUCUAAAGGCUCUGAUUAUAUCAGUUUAGCAUUUUUCUUAAGUUUUUGUAUAUCUUGGUGAUGUUAUUAGUUGUUUUUAAUUGACUUUUUGGUCAUAUAAAGUGAAAUUCCUUUGUAAACACUUCUCUUAAGUGAGAUGUUCAAAGAAGCAAUCAUUUUACUUUGUCAAAGCUGAGAAACAGUCAAAGCUGCCACUUUUUUUGAUUUUUUUUGCCUUUAUUUUUCUCCUUAGAUAUCGGGAUGUGUGCUAAUGGAUCUUUGCAUUCAUAGGUUCUUUUGCUUCUUUCACACAUGCAAACUGUCUUUGUAGUCCACAGACUUCGAAUCCUUACAAGGAGUAUUAAAUCUUUAAAAUACUUAAAAGAAUUCAUUGAUCAAUGAUCCAUAAUGGUUCUUGAAGUGAUAAUUAAUUACAGUUUGAAGAUUAUGACGGGGAUUGCUUUGAAACUUAAUAACCACUUACGUUCAUUAAAAAAAAAAAUGUUUUCUUUUAAUGUGAUUAAUGUUUUACGUUCUUUUGUAUAGAAAAAUGCUCCAUGGCUAUCUGUGCCGCAAUUUGGGGACUGGGACCAGAAGGGACAGGUGCCUGAUUAUUCAUUGGAUUUUUCAAAAAUUAGAGAAAUGAGGAAGCAAAACAAAAGGGAUGUGUCAAGAGCAAGUCUUGGCAACGAAGAAGACUUCAUUAACCCCACUGCCCCCAGUAACAACAAAGCCCACAAUAAUCAAGAUGAUGAGCAGCAUCAUUUUCAUCAGAGCCAUCACCACCACUCUCCAACCGUGAGAAAUUUUCAUUUUUUCACUCAUUAUCUUCGUAGAAAAUCUUAUAUGAGAUCGAUGUGGUGCCGCUUAUGAGUCUUUUUUUUUUUAAAAAAAAAAAAGUGUUUGUUAAUUGGCAACUAACUUUUGGUUGUUAGAUUAAUGAGAAAGAAUGAAGCCAAUUUCAAAGUAGAGUAAUUUAGGACAUUUCAAAUUCUGGAAGUAGGUUGUUGGCUGACAACACUUGUAAGGAAUUGAUUGGUUGAUUGUAACAAGUUAGGAAAUAGGAAGUGGUUUCAUGGUGAUAUGAGACUCUGAAAACAGAGUUUCUGGGCAACAUAAUUGGAUAGAUAGAUUCAAUGCAAGUACACAAAUGAUAGUUGGUGAGUUUUAGUUAUGGAGAUAUAGAGAGUCUGAUAGACAUCACAAACAUUUGCAAGAGCAGCGGCGUACAUGUGCUGUAUAUGAUUGUAGGGUGAUCACUUAGCUGUUAUUAUUAAAUCUUGUGGGAUUGAUAUUUCCUAAUAAGUAGGUAGCAGCUAACUUACAAAUCUAACAUGGUUUUGAUUUAACUGGUCAACUUCAUUGAGUGAUGGAAGGAAAAGGACAUAGGUCGGUUGAGUAGGUUUAUCCGGCCUUGCCAGUUCAGGAAUCUUGUAUAUUUUAAGCCUCUCGUUACUUAAUUGGUUAGAAAUAAUCUGUUUAAGUGAAAGGAAGAUAUAGAAAAUAAUAAACCUGAUGUGCAAAGUGAAAUGGUCAAUGCCCUUUUUUUGCCUCCUUCCCUUUUGUUUUUUGACUGAUGUUUUCUUGUUUAGGGUGUUGGUGUUACUGCUAAUAAUCAAAGCUUAAACCUUAAGUGCUGUCCGAGUCAAUAUUCUCUUGGAGAUUACAUAUUGAAUGGAUCUUGGGAAAUUAUUUGUGUGCAAAAAAUUUUUAAAAAAAAUUAGGAUUGUAGAAACCGAUAAGUACAGAAUCUGUGAAUGCCAGACAAAAUUCUUUGAAGUCUUUGUAACGGUUGCAUGCGAGUCUAUGGCUUGGUUCUAAUAAACAAGUGGGGCUCUUAGGAUCUACAUACUUUAAUAAUUUAAAAUUCUUCAAAGAUCAUUUUCAAUAUGAUGUGAUAUAGAUGUGUGCUGGGAACCAGGCAACAUAAUUUUUGUACUUGAUCCAAGGUGGUGUCUUUGUAUACUUAGGCCACACAAGAGUGCAAGUGGUGCACAUGCAAUAAUUGUUUUAAUCUACAAACCAGUUUGGGUGGUUAGGGGUUGGCAUAUUACCAAUGUACAAGAUUCACAUGAAUGUAGUUAAUCUUUAGUUGAAGAUGUAGUUAGUCUUUAGUUGGAGUGUUGCUAAGGUCCCAGCUCAAGUCUGCAUUUUAUAAAAUAAGGAUUUUCGCAUCCUCAGUAUUUCUAUUUCUUUUUUCUCUUGAAAAAAUGAAUAGCAAAAUAGAAAAACAAGGAUGUUCUGCUAGACUGAAUAUAUCGACAUCUUUACUGACUUGAAUAAGUGAAGAAGAUUAUAGGGGCUUCCUCAUAAAUGGCCGGUUAAAGAUGAUCGGCAAGUUUAUAGAACAUAUUCUGAAUCAUUUGUCAUCUUUUGCUGCAAUUUCUGAAAUAUCUUUUCUCAAUUUGGCUAGCCUUGUUCUUACUAUGUUCCUGGUUGAUUCUUCUUGGACAGACUAGGAGGAGCUUUUUGAGCUACUUCAACUGUUGUGUAAAAGCUUGACGAUCAAGUGAAGGCCAAUCUCUCUACUCUGUGUGCUGCUGCUGCACCUUUUUCUUUUCACUAUUCUUAAUUGGGUUCUAUUUCUCUCCAUUUUCAGAAGCAAACAAUGAUGACAUUGAUAUAUUGCUGCUUCUUGCCGCUAGCUUCUUUGAUCAAUCUCAUGAUUUCGGUUUGAUUUUUGUUCUAUGUAAUGAAAUAACUAUUAGAAAUGUGAGAUGAGAUGUAAAUUUUAUUAUUUUUGAAGAUGUAAAUCUAUACACUAGUGUUGACUGAAAUCAUGGAGAGCUGACUAAUACAAAUUCAUAUCUUGGCUCUUCCAUCACUAAAAUCACUACAACAAUCAAUUGAUCAGAACCAAAGUACACAGAAAUUACCAUUACAUAAUCAAAAGCCUCCAAAAAUUCAGAUGACAGCACUUCUUUGCUGAACCUUCGCCUUCUCAGCAUCAAUUAUACUCUCAACCAAUUUCACUGCAACAUCAAGCUUCCCCUCCGCAUUCACCACCACGUAAUCAAAAUUUUUCACAUGCUUUAUCUCCUCUCUAGCCGUAGCAAUUCUCACUAACAACUCCUCCCUACUCUCAGUCUUCCGCUCAACCAAUCUCUCCACCAACGCCGUCUCACUCUCUGCCAUCAAAAACACAAACACCGCUGAAUCCCCCAAAACCCUCCUCAAAGUCUGAGCUCCUUGAAUGUCCACUCUCAAAAUUAUAUCAUACCCUUUUGCCAUAUACUCCCUAAUUUGCUUCUUUGGUAUCCCCUUAUAAUCCCCAUACACUAGUGCAUAUUCCAACAGCUCGUUUUUAUCAAUCAUUGUUAAAAACUCUUCCUUCGACACAAAGUAAUAAUCUUUCCCAUUCUCUUCGCCAGGCCGCAUUGGCCGACUAGUAGCAGUCACAACAAAACGAAGCGAAUCACGCGAUUCCCUCAGCUUCUUUAUAAGAGCAUCUUUGCCAACCCCACUUGGCCCACUAAUUACAAUUAUCAAAGGAUUUGGAGGAGGACAAACUGGGUUUGAAUCGAAGGCAUGACCCAAAGAAGCUUCAAGAGACCGUAAAAGCUCAGCCUUUUUAACUGCAGCAGUCUGGGUAUGGUUCAUUCUGAGGUUCGAUGAGAAAAAAUGUGGGGUUAGAGAGAGAGAGUGAUGGAAUCUUCGUUGUGGUUGCUUAACUUUAAUGGGGUUAUUUUGGAAGGCAAAUAGGGAGUUGGUUUUUGAGAUGCUGGAGAGAGAUAACGAAGUGCAGAGUCGGCGAAACAUGAGGUUAUUUUGUUGCAGAGUGUAAAAAAGAACACAAAACACAAAUCAGACACCAAUAACAUUACCAAAACAAAAAACCCUACCCCACUCAAAAUUUUUCAGAACCCACACACCAAAAUUAAAUUUGCACAAGGCACUUGACCCCAGAAUCUCCUUGCCACCGCUGCUGCUUAACUUGACAAAGACCCUGAAGUGGGCUUGGCGUGGUGUGUAAAUUAUACUGACGGCAGCAUGGUUUUGUGAUUACCAAUUUUAAGGUAAUAUAUCCCUAGCAAUACACACACAGACACAAAUGAGAGCUCAGUUCAUGAAAGUAACAUAUGCCAAAGCUCAAAAACUGCAAGUUUUAAUAUGACGUAAUCUCAAAUAAAAGAUUAGAAGCCUGAAUGCCACUAGAUGAAUUAACUUAAAUAUAACAUAAUUGAGACUUUUUAGAGUUUAUAGGUUCACUAUAAGUCGUCCAGUCCAGACUAUGAGCAGACACAACAGAAACUAUGGCUUGGUUGCUAUUCAAAGGGCCAUAUAUUUCUUGAAUAUUCAGUUAUCAAUUUGAUGACCAAGAACAACCUAUAACGGCAUUUAAACUUAUCCUUCUAUCGUUUAAGUUGGCAAACUAAGAACCCAAUCCGAUACUCAAAUUCGGGUUCAUCUCUGUUACAUGGCUCCAGGCAUGCGCUACCUUCCAAAUGCAAUCCAAAAUACUAUUAUAUAAUACAAGAAUUUUAUCUCAAACAAUCAAACUCACAACAGCCGACGUAAUUGAAUUCUCUUUUAUUGUCACAAAUCGUGCCGUGCUUCCAACCAACAGUGCCGGAAUAUCACAAUUCACAAGCUGUUCUAAAUUCUGCUGUAGAUUAUUUUAUACACAACAUGACGAAUUUUAUUAAAUAUAAUCAAGUGUAACACAAAAGUAUAACUUAAUUGCAAAUUCUAAAAUCAUUAACAAAAAUACACCAAAUGAUUUUUUAUUAAAUGUAGCUUAAUUAAAAAGAGAGAGAGAGAUAGAGAGUUCUUCACUAACAAUUUAGAAAUUCAAGACUACAAAUCAUUACAGGUAGAAUGAAAUUAAAACAAUUAAACAAAUCACUGAAAUAGAUCCGACUUGAAGAUAAUAAAUUCUUACUUGAAGGACCAGUAGUGGGCAGACAACGUGGCGGCGGCAGCCGCGACGCGGUACCGGCGGCGGGUGGCCGAUUAGUGAGGGCUUGUUCUCAGUUUUGAGUUUUGAAAGAGACGGAGCAGCAGAGCCGUUUAGAAUUUAAUUAGGAUUGCGAGCUUCUCCACUCCAGUAAAUGAAAAACGAUUGGGAAAAAAAAUUGAGCUUUUCCACGUGUCAAACCCGCAUUGGCUACCAGUUUCUGGCGGCUUCUCGUUUCUUUGGCUUCAUUCUAUAAUUUCCAGGGCUCUCUCUGUUAGUCUUCAGCGUUCACUGAGGGCAUAGUAAGGUAAAAUUUAAUCUCUAAUUUUUCACCUUUCUGUGUUUUGUUUAUUUUUGUUUAAUUAGUAAAUUUCUUGAAGCUUUUAACUUGCACUACUAGAUUGAGGCAGCUCGAAGUGUUCUUUUUUGAAAUUCAUAUCAUUAUAAAAGUGUAAUCUUGGUUUAAAAUUCAUUUCUUUUGAGACUCAAGAGUAUAUAGCUAUUCCAUACAUGAUCAAAUAUUUGAGUUUGUUUGAUUUGAGCUCUUCUUUUAUUUCACUCAACACAGUUAGUACAGUGAACUUUAUAGGUUUUUUCUUCAAAAAUUAUGCAUUAAAGAUACAGACACUGGUACUUAACUUUUGUUUUUCUUUGAUUAUGAUUCUGGAAAUAGACUUCAGACUUAGCAAGCAAUGGCAGUUACUUUCUACGAUCUCAACUCGGACAUUGGUUUGAAGAAACUUGACGAUUGCCUGCUCACUCGCAGUUACAUUACUGGGUAUAUUUCUAUUAUGUCAAAAUAUCAUUGAGAAGUUAUGGUGGGAAAUGUCAUUUCCCUUUUGUUGUGCUUUUAUCAGGUACCAAGCUUCAAAGGAUGAUAUAACUGUUUAUGCAGCACUUUCUAAACCACCGUCAUCUGAAUAUGUGAACGUGUCUCGCUGGUACAACCACAUUGACGCGCUUUUAAGGAUUUCGUAAGUUUCUCAUCUUGUAAAAAGUUCCCAGUGUUGUGUUAAAUUGUGUAAUAGAUUUUAAAUAGUUUCAUUUUCCAUGAAACGUUUUUGCUUACUUCUGAGCAUUGCCGAUUCAGUGGUGUUUCUGCAGAAGGGUCUGGUGUCAUUGUAGAGGGAUCUGCUCCUAUUGCAACUCUUCCAGUUGAUGACAAAAAGGCAAGUAGUGCUGUUCUGUGUUCAUGUCAUAGGCACGUGACUGCCUUUUGUAUGUUUAAUUAAUAAUUGACGAUUGAACAAGCAUUUUGCUUAUUCCGGGUUCAGUUUUUUCCAUUGCUCUGGACUCCUAUUAAUUUUUAGGGUAAAAGCUUGUUUAGUCCCUAUAUUAUGAGGUUAGUGUCUAUUUAGUCCCUGUAUUUUUAAAAAUACCUCAAAGCGUCCCUGCUACUAAAUAUUGACACUUAUGCCAUUAUUUUUUAUUAUUUUUAACUUAUUUUUACAAUAUUACAUUUUUACAAUAUUACAUUUUUACAAUAAUAUUUCUUUUUUGGAUAUUAAUAAAGAAAUUAAAUUAUCAAAUUAAACUCAAAAAUAAAAUAAAAACAAAAAAGGUAUAUAUUAAUUAUUUUUUUCUUUUUAAUAAUGUCUAAAAAAUUAUUAUAAUAGGGCAAUAUUAUAAAAAUAAGUUAAAAGGAACAAAAGAUAAUGGCGAAAAUGUCAAUAAUUUAAUGGUAGGGAUGAUUUGAGGUAUUUUUAAAAAUAUAAGGACUAAACGGACACUAACUUCAAAAUAUAGGGACUAAACGAGCUUUUACCCUAAUUUUUAUAAUCAUGGGGUUCGGAUUUGGAGGCGGUUGGCUUAUUUGGGAACUUAUAUCAAUUAUGCUCCUCGCUUGGUUAUGAAAUUUGGCUAUACUUAAUUCUCAGGCUGCUGCCGCUGACGAUGAUAAUGAUGAUGUGGAUCUGUUUGGUGAGGAGACAGAAGAGGACAAGAAGGCUGCUGAAGAACGCUCAGCUGCCAUCAAAGCAUCUGCAAAGAGGAAAGAAUGUAAGCUUCUCUUCUUAUUGACUGAUUAAUUUGUUUAUUAACAACAGGCUCAGCUGUUUUGUGCUUAAUUUUUUCUAUUCUACAUUUUGAAUUCCCUCGUAUUUCAUUCUCAGCUGGCAAGUCAUCAGUUCUAUUGGAUAUAAAGCCAUGGAAUGAUGAGACUGAUAUGCAAAAGCUCGAGGAAGCAGUACGCAGCAUUAAGAUGGAAGGGUUGCACUGGGGAGCAUGCAAGUCUUUUCUAUAUGCACUUCAGCUAUAAUUUCCUUUAUGUUUGAUGUCAAUAAAUAUAUCUUCAAUGCUUGCUGCAGCUCAAACCACCUCCUAAUUAAAUUUCACCUUUUCUCGAUCAGAAGAAUGUAAUUGGACAAGCUGAUAUUAAACUUACAGUUUAGUUUCUGAACUUCAAGCUAACAUGAACAUGUUUGAUGUCACAGCCAAACUUGUACCUGUUGGUUAUGGCAUAAAGAAGUUGCAGAUAAUGCUUACCAUUGUGGAUGAUUUGGUGUCUGUUGACAAUCUCAUUGAGGAGCAUCUGAUGGCUGAGCCAAUAAAUGAAUAUGUCCAGAGCUGCGAUAUUGUAGCCUUCAACAAGAUAUGUAAGUGUAUCACAUAUGUAUAUGUAUGCUUGUCUAUUCAUUUAAUUCAUACACAUGCCAUUAGCAACCUUUCCAUAAAACUUCCAAUAAUCCUAAUCUUGGGCUCUAUAUUUGUCUUACUCAUGUAACAGAAUCCAAGAAUCCUUGAUGACCGGUGCUGGUGAGGUUUCCGGAGGAAGUUCUUGGUUAGCUGGUCACUGCAAAGUGGUUACUAUCCUGUUUUUUGUUCCACAGCCUUUUCUUCUGUUAUAAUGUUUGUUCUUGGAGAGUGUUGUGUCCUAUUGCUAUGUUUGCAAUGGAGUAUUUAGAGAAUUGUUCUGUACGAUUAACAGAGAUCCGGAAUGAAAAGUAAAUCAAAAGUCUCUUACAACUUUUACCAAGGUGUUCUCCUGUGCUCCUGUUAGAAGUCCUUCCUAUAACAGAGGUUAAUCAGUCCAUUUUUUUCUGAUUCUUAGAUGGAAGAAUCCCUAGAAGGAGACGGCUCCUCAGUGGGACCAGAUGAAGAAAGCUCCCCUUACUUAUUGACUUGGUGGAGUAAUAAAGUAAGCGAUUGAUAAUUGAUUCUUCUUAUGGAAUAGUAUGAGGAUGAUGAGCAUUAAUCAUCCUGAUUAUGGCUCUGGAUCAAUCUGAACCUAUCUAUAGAUUGACCCAAACAUAUAAUCAUAAUUCCCAAGCAAACAAAAGAAAGCAUGCCUACAAGGAAUCUUUCAAUUGGUAUCACCAAAAUUUAACAAGUUCACUAGAAUGAAUAGUAAGAGGAUGUAGACUUUUUGCAUGAACAAUUUUGUACAUUGCAAUGCAGCACUAAAAUAUUUGUUCUGACUUAUUCAACUCUUAAAAAAAUCAAAGACAUAUAAAGUGUAUUAAUAAGUCUUGUGUAGAGAACAAUACAAGUGAUACUGUAAUAGUGCACUUUCAGUCUUUAAAUCUUACACAAUCUCUUCUCAUGAUAGAUUAAUGACAACGUAAAAAACACUCUGGAGAGAGGCAAGUCCCAAAAUGCACAAAAACUACGAUCUUUGUCGUACAAAAAAUUAGCAUAGGAGAUUUUAACCAGGCAACAUAGUGGAUCACAACCAAAGAGCUUGACCACAAAAUAGCUUAAUUACACAUCAAGCUGUCUCCUAGGUCUACCUAAUCUAAUAACAGGCUCUUACUCCUUACGGUGCAUGAAGUUUAGCAGAACAACUUUGUCGUAUAACACCAACAAAUUUUAAUUCUUAUGAGAAUCACACCUUUUUGAUAAUCUGAACAACAUCCUCGUCCUCGAGCUCAUGCUCCUGAUGAGUAUAAAGCACAAAUAUUUCUGGUUAGAUCAGCAAAGGAGGUGAAGAUGAAUUUAAAAAAAAAAUACAAUUAAAACCAAAAAACAAAGAAAAGAAGAAUGAAGACAGGAACUGAGAACACGACAAUCGGGCUAUAGAGUCAACCUUGCCAACUCUUUGUGGCUUGUGUUUUGCGCUUGACCCCCAUACCAGAGCACUGCACAUCAGGUUUCCAGAUCAAAGUAUUUAGUGCAGUAUAAAAAAAGGGACUGAAAAAUGAAUUCAAAUUGGUUUCCAAUAUCCAUGUUCUUCAUUUCUUAAGAAAUUCAAGCUUUUUGGAGCCAUAAGUUUGGGAAAGAAUACUCACUACUUAAAUUGUUUAACCAUAUCUUUGUGAAUUCGCUCGCAGAAAUCCUCGACUGUCCUCUUUUUAGAUGACAAAAUCACAGGGUCUUCAUAGUCCGGAUUCAUCCCUUUGGGCUUUGUGUAUAUACGAGUUAAAUUAAGAUAUUCCCAUAUCUUCUCCAGCAAACCAUCAAGGUUCCAUUCCAGAUGCGCACUGCACAGUAGUUAUCACAAUUUACAAAACAAAUGAGCAAAUAAAGCCCAUGAAAUCCUUGAAAGCGUGCUAACUUAUAAUCUUACAGCAAGAAAGCAGCAAAUGUUUUCAAUUUGAUGCAACCAUAUUUUACAUUAGUUCAGGAAACUCCAAAUGGAAUAAUGGAACAGAGAUCAAUGACAAAAGACUUGAAACAAUUAUGGAAAGAGACAAAUAAAAGUGGAAAGAACUUUACCUAACUGGGCAAUAGUGAGGAAGCUUAUCCAAAAUCUCCAGCUCUUCAAGAGUAAUCUGAUCAAUUUUGUUUAUGACAUAGAUGCAAGGCAUAUAUAUCCUACUGCCUUCGAUGACAUCAAUAAGGUCAUCAGCUGUUGCAUCGUAUCUCAGAGUGAUAUCAGCAUUAUGAAUUCUGUAUUCACUGCAUAUUGCCUUCACAGUCUCAAGGUCAAGAUUUGUGUUGGUAACUGUUGAGGUGAAAUUGAUACCUCCCUUAUCUUUCUUCCUGAAUGUCAGAUUAGGUGGUUGUUUGUUUAACCUAUUAAAAGAAUACAACUUAUCAAAUUGAUCUAAAAAAUAUAUAAUUACACAAAAGUGAGGUGGUCAAGGUUAAAUUGAAAAAAAUAAUAAUUAAACAAACUAAAAGCAAAGAGGAUAAGUUCUGGAGUGUGGGAAAAAGACAUCUAUGUUCUCAAAUGCAGAUACUGUUAUAAAUAUGACUUAAGAGGCAUAAGAUAGAUGUUAAAAGGAAUAUUAAAGAAGCACGGUCCACUGGGUAGUGCUGAAUAGAGUAAGCUUUAGAAAAUUACACAGAGAAGAGUAGGACCAACUACUGUAUGAUUUAUCAAAUAUCAAAGGAAUGCUUAACGUAUUGCAAAUAGCAAUAGAAAGUCCUUUAGGGAAUUUGGUUAUUAACACUUUCUAGGAAAGAAAAAAAAAAGAGAAUGCCAACCAACUAAAAACAAUUGGCUCACAAUUUUUAAAAUCAGCAGAUACAAAAUGUUUAAAAUUUAUUAGCACUAGCAUCAAACUAAAAAACAACUGAACAGAUGGAGGCAUGAAACCAGAGAAACUAUACAGUGAAAUAAAGUGCAAUUGAUAUACCAGAACACCAGCUUAGAGCAUGAAAAUAUAACAGAUACGUUCAGAUUACCUAAUGCCAAAUCCCUCAAGCUCUUUCUCUAUCAGACGCUUGUGAGUUAUUGGCUUUAUUGCAUCAAGAACAAUUAAGAUACAAUUGCAUGUCCUAGCAGUACUGAUAACCUGAAUUGCAAAUAAAUGACUUUUCAAUAAAAUGAUUCCCAAAGAGUAGAGCAUACAAAGAUGCAAAUGAAACAGAAAUAUCCAAACUAGACAACCAGAUCUGCGUACAAAACGCAUAAAAGGAGAGAGGGAGGAAAAAAAAGUAAUGUUAAAAAUAGAACCACAAAAUAGUAGACAGAUAAAAUUCAAAAAUAGAACCACAAAAUACUAGACUGAUAAAAUUCAAUCUCAUCAUUAUCAGUAACGACCACAAUAACAAAGACAAGAUUGAAAAUUUUCCAGCUACAAAAAAAGCAUGAUGCUCGAAAGAGAUUCUCCAAAAUAAAAGUAUACACCAAACAUAUUAUGAUUACCUGUCUUCCUCUACCCUUCCCAUCCUUAGCACCCUCGAUGAUACCAGGAAGAUCCAACAACUGCAAAUCAUAAUAGCUGCAGCAUUAUAUUUAUCUUUAAAGAAAGAACCUAUAUUAGGAAGGAAGAUUGAGAAUCAUGAGGUUAUAAAAUCAUGAAUCUAAUCUAAAUGUGUGAAUUUAUCAAAUAACAUUUUGACAUGAUGGCAUGCAUUAUGACAAAUUGCCUCUCCAUUAUUUUUUAUCAGAUUCUCAAAUAAGUCAAAUUUGUGAAACUUAUAUGAUCAACAUUGAACCCAUAUCCUAUUACAAAACUUGAUAUAUGAAACCCUAUGGAUCAUAAAUACCGAUCAGUGAAUUUGAAUUCAAUAAAAGAUUCAAAAUCCAAGUUCACAUUCUUUCUCACACUUGCUCCCUCACACUUUUUGGUUUUUUAAUAGAAAUAUAACACGUAGAUCAACCGAAAUAUAACAAGUAGAUCCUACACAUUAUGCUUGACUGAAGCUCCUCUAACUAGAUACAAAAAUAUAACAACCUCUUGACAUAACUUUCAUCAUUCAACUCGAAAUGAUAAACUAAAUAGUAUUUUAUAUUUCAGGUUGUGGCACUGCCCAAAAUAAAAGUACAAAUAAUUAACAAUACCUGAAUUUUGGCACCUCUAUACGUAAUCACACCCGGGAUACAGGUUAAAGUAGUAAAUUCAUAUGAAGCAACCUGCAAACCAGAAAGAAGAGGAGUCACACUAAGGAAGCAGAAAUUUUACAAAUAAACAAGUUUCAUCUCAUCUUUCCCGUCCCCUUAAUGCAGAACACAUUAAUGAGAUCAAGAGGAGUCACACUAGGGAAGCAUAAAUUUUACAAAUAAACAAGUUUCAUCUCAUCUUCCCCAUCCCCUUAAUGCAGAACACAUUAAUGAGACCACAAACAACAAUUUCAUACCUCUGAAAAUGUCCCUGUUAACUUAUUCAAAAGUGUAGAUUUCCCAACUGAGGGGAAACCGACUAGACCAACUCUAGAAUCUCCACUUUUAGUGACAUCAAAACCUUCCCCACCACCACCACCACCUCCUUUGGACGUAGGUGUAAGAAGUUCCCUUCGUAGCUUUGCAAGUUUAGCCUAAAAACACAAAAAUAAUCACAUAUAGCAUCGUCAAAAUAUAAAAUUAUAAUGAAACAGCAAGAGGUGAGUGUGAAUGAUGAUCAAAUGAGGCUGGGACUCAGAAAGGUUAGAUCAUUUCUAAUACAUAACCAAUAGUUAUCAUGUUAACUAUCACAUUUGAAAAAUUAUGUUUUCACAGUUCUUCAACUGAAUAUAAAGAAAACCAGUCUCACAUUAGCCUCUAACAAGGUGAUCAUCAAAAGUCAACUAUAACAUCAAAUUCAAUACGUUGAUCAUGCCAAAUAGACUUUCCUCUGGCAUCCAGUUAUGAGGUAUAAUCUUAUUCCUAUUUCAAAAUUAUUUAAUGUAGGGAAGGAUUGGUUCUAAAAAUAAGUCAUAAGAUACAUUAGUGAAGCAAACAAAGGUGCUAAAACUAAAUUGAUAGUAAAAGAUAAUAUCCCUUCUAAAUUGGCCACACACUAUACUCUUCCAAAUCAGAACAUAAAAGUGGAAUAUAUUCCCCUAAAAUACUGGAGCAAUUUUCAUUGCUUAUAUAAGAAAAGGAAAUAUUUGAGAUAUAAAACUUCACAAACAACUCACUCUAUGCAGGCAACGAGCAUGAUUAAACAUACGUUAUUUUUUAACGUUUACAAAUUAUUUACAAGCUUAUCACAAGCUGUGAAAAGAGUGGGGAUUUAUCUGAAGGUUUUCAAAUUAUUAUUUUCAUGAAUGAUAAAAGAAUCAAUAUUUUAAGUAAUAAAAGGGGAAUUUUUAAGUAAUAAGGGGGGAUACUUCACUAAAUUGGGGGUGAGUGGAAAUUCAAAAACCUAAGAGGAUCUGAUUGAAAUUUUCCAUUGCACCACACUUUGCAAUUCAACAGAAAAAUUCAUGUACCUUGAGCAAGCCAAGAUGAUGCGCUGUAGCUUUGUUCUUCUGAGUCCUCGCCAUCUACAACACACACAAACAAAGCCAGAUGUUCAUAUUCUAGUCUCAUAUAUUCAAUUCUCAAUUUUCACGAACAUAUUUUUGAGAGUUAAUAAAACACAAAAACAAAAAAAAAUUUGAAAAAAAUAAUUAGUUGAAAUAUCAAUAAAAUUAGUAAAAUUCAAACGGAGUUACUUCAUCUUCGAUGUCCUUGAUUUUCUGCAUGACAGUCGCCAUUGUCGCAGAUGAGACAGGAUUAUCAAACAGGUAAUCAGAUCAACGGUUAACCGGCGGUUCAGAUUGAGCUGUGACGAUUAUCUCUGCGUUAAUUUGAGAAACAGAGAGAGUUUUUGAGGUAGAAGAAGAAGACGAAGGUCCUCGAAGAAAACGGCGAAGGGUUUUAAUUGAAGAUAAAACUCUGGGCUCAGCCCGAAUUGCCCAUGUCGCCCGUUGGGCCGAACGGAUUACGGCCCAGUCUAUUUGUUUGUUGGAUGACGGUUCACUUUUUCUUUUUAACAAGAAGAAGAAGAAGAAGAAGAAUAAAAUCAGUAAAUUGACCAAAAAAAUUUUGUAAUUUGAAGACUUCAUAUAGUAUGUACAAUAAGUCAUGACGUAAACAAUAUUUCUCACAUCUCGUUAAUCUAUUCUUUUGAUACCGUUCAUGAAGUAUUACAAAAUUGCAAUUGCUUUAUGUGUGUAACCAGUCGUUAUAAGAUUGGUAAUAUGGAUUACCGCGAAAUAUAAUUUUAAAAAUAUUUUUGGUCCUAUUUAGUAUUGAGUUUAAACUGUGGUUUAAAAAUUAAGUUGAUUUAAUCUACUACUUAUAUGAUAAAAAAUUUAUAAAUUUUUUAUAAUUUUUUAUCAAAUCUAUUAAGUCUAUUUACUACAUACUAAUUUUUAUUUUUUAAUUACAAUUUUUUUUUUACACCAACUGUAGUUUAGAAGUUAUAUCGUCUCAUUUUCAAAUAGGGCAUUUGUCAAAUAAUACCUAUUGUUUAUCAGUUCAACAUUAUAAAAAUGAUUUUUACGAUCACAGCCAUAUUUUGAAUUAAAGCCAAAAGACUACUAUCAAAGAAUAUCAUUUAUUUUGAUUUUGAAACUGGUAAAAUUGUUGAAGCCCGUAAGAAGAAUAGAAAACUUGCUAGUUGCUAGAAAGGGAACGAGAAAAUGGCUGUAAUUUUCCAUUCAAUAGACUAGGGGCAAAAAAUUCAUACAAUUGGAUUUGGUUAAGGAUGUUAGAGGCUCAAGCUACCUAUAUACAAAAAGGGCCUGUAGGAUGUUAGAAGUCAAUUCCCAGAAAAUAUUUCUCUCCACAGCAAGUUUGAUCUUUAGCUAGUGUGUUCUUUAGAGCUUUCUUGUGGGGGUUUUCGCUGUGGUGCUUCGACUGAAUGCUUCGGACUCCAGCAGCCAGUGACUAAAUGUUAUUCACUGAAUGAUGAAGAUAACAGUUACCAUUCUCGAUGACUGUUGACAAUCUCAUCAAGGAACAUUUUGUGUCCGAACCAAUACAUGAGUAUGAUGUACAUAGCUGCAUAGUGUAGCGUACAACGAGGUAUGACUUCGGGAUUACUGGCGACAGCUGCUGAAGAAUCUUCUUGAUCAAUACUCAAUUCUCACUGCAUGCAAAGUGAAAGUUAUAUUUUAGAAUUUCCAUUUUUAUUUCAAGUGUAUAGUUUCCACUGUGGAUUUUGUUCUCAGUGGACAGUGUCAUUGCACCGACUUUGCUAGUUUCACGAUGAAGAAUUAGUUUUAUUGCAUUGCAGCUCCAGAUCUAAAGUGGCAAUAUUUUAUUUAAAGCGCAAACCAUGUUUACAGAUACCAUUCAUGAAACUCCAAAUGGAAUUAUCACAGAAAUUAAUGAGAGAAGACUUUAAAAAUUACCAAAGAAAAAAAAGGAGAAAAUUAAAAUACCACUUACCUAACUGGUAAGCAGCAAUCAAAAAUAAUUUGAUCAAUCUUGUUUACGUCAUAUGACCUUCAAAUGAUAUCAGCAUUAUGAAUUGUGUUUUCUAGGCAAGACAUGUAUUGGUGCUUUUGAAGAGACCCCCUUAUCUCUCUUCCAGAGAUCAGGCACUCCUUGCUUCAACCUGUUACAAGUUAAAAUCAACAAGAGGAAUAAACAAUAACUCAAAGGAUUAAAGGAGGACCCGAAAGAAAAAAAACUAUGUUCUGGAAUGUGAAAAAAUGAAGGGAAAACAAGUGCUAGAAUGCAAAUGAUCUUAUAGAAAUACAACUUAGGAGGCAUAACAUGGAUGUUAAAAGAAAUAUUCAAGAACCAAGAGAGAACAUAUUAAUAUAUUCAAAAAUAUUUUUCUUCUUUUUCUUUACCCCAUAUUUUCAUUGACCUUAAAUUUGUUUUCAUUCUCAUUUCUCGAAGAAUCAAGAUACAUAGCAUAUUUAAUUUUCUGAAAAUAAAAACCUAUCUACUUACUAGCUUGGUGUUCCAAUUGUAGUGAAAAUAAGUCCAGUGAUCUCAGAAGACUCUGUAUCUCAGAAGAAAGUCUCUAUCAGCAGAUUCUCCCUCUCUGGGGUUUCAAACCUGAGAAGGAUCCAAUUCACUACUUUUACGCUUCAACUCAUACAGUAACCCAUGUUGCUGUAAAAAGAAGUCAACUUGCUGACAGGUAAUGCACCUGAGAACUUUUUAAUAUUCUACACUGAAUUGUCAGUAGAGUGGCCACAAUGUGGAUGUAUUCUAGAAGCGUAUUCAUCUUAGCUCAAGGUUAAAACUGCUUCAAAUAAGGCUUUGGUUUUUCAGUGCUAUUGUCAGCAACUUGUCCUCAGUCAUUCAACAGAGCGCCGAAGUAUUAGGUACAUAACCGACGCCCUUAAUGUGAAGAAUCAAAUUAUCCAAAAUUGAAUACGUUAGAUCAGCUGCAUGAUGACUUUUGUCUCUGGCAACAAAAGCGUGGACCUCAUUAUUCACUUCUAUCCAACUACGACCAGCUUCUUUCAUUAUCCCAUCAAGGUCCAUUUUCUUCCUCACCUGCUUGGCAUCAGCCCACAUACUGUUACAUGCAAAAGUAUUUGAAAGCAGAGUAUAUGAACCACUAUCCAUUGGAUCUAUAGAAAUUGCCAUCUCCGCUGCAUAUCUUCCCAGUUCAACAUUGCCAAACAUUCUACAUGCAUUGAGUAAACUCCUCCACACAACUGCUGCUGGUUUUAUUGGCAUUUUCUCAAUAAAAUCCUUUGCUUCAUAUAGUUUGCCCGCACGGCCUAAAAGAGAAGCCACAGAUGCAUAAUGUUCCAUCCCUGGUUCAAUUCCAAACCCAGCCAUUGAUUGAAAGUGAUCAAGUCCAUCUUCUAUGAGUCCUGCAUGGCUACAUGCUGAUAGCACACCCACAAAUGUGAUGUAAUUGGGUUCUAGUCCUUCUAUUAUCAUUUCUCUGAACAAUAAAAGGGCUUUCAUGGGUUCCCCAUGAUGUGCAUUAGUACAAAUCAUGGAAUUCCAACAGGCAACGUCUUUCCAAGUUGUGGAACCAAAAGUUUCAUAAGCAUCUUCAAGGCUUCCACAUUUAGCAUACAUAUCGAUAAGUGCACUUGUAAUAAAUGGAUCAAAGUCCAGACCCAGCUUUAUAAGGUGGUUAUGGAACUGUUGACCAUGCUUCAGACUUCCUAGGUUACUGGCUGCAGUGAUUAGAGCAGCAAAAGUAAACUCGUUAGGUCUUUGUUGCGAUAGGAGUAGUUCAAGAUAGAGUUUGAUAGCCUCUUCAUUUUCCAACUGUUGAGUGUAACCCAAAAGCAUGGCGUUCCAUACAACAAUAUCUCUCUGAUUCAUCUCAUCAAACACAAGUCUUGCGUCCUUAUUACUAAAGCACUUGGAAUAAGCAUCUAUUAGAGCACUUCCAGCAAAUACAUCCAAGAAGACCCCAUAUUUGAUGAUGAGACCAUGAAUUUGCUUGCUUGAUUCCAAGGAAAAAACUGAAGAUGAUAAUCCGAGGAGGCUAACAAAGGUCAAGAGGCCUGGGGGAACAAAUCCAACCCUCAUCUCAUGAAAAAGAUCCAAUGCUUCAGAUAGCUUCUCCUGUUUUGAGUAUCCUUCAAUCAUUGCAUUAUAUGAGACCACAUUGCGAUCAGCCAUAACAUCAAAAACUUUUCUUGCUUCAGUCAACGAAUCACAUUUUGCAUACAUAUCAACCAAAGAAUUUUUCACAAAAUUAUCUGACUCAAUAUUGGCCUUAAAAGAGUAAGCAUGCACUUGUCUCCCUUGCUCUAGAGCCUCAACUGAACCACAUGAUGUGAGAACACUAGAGCAAGCAAAGUCAUCAGGCUUCCAUCCCGAUCUUGUCAUCUCUGUGAACAGUUUCAUGGCUUCUCUAUCAAAAGAAUUUUGCAUAUAUCCACCAAUCAAUGUGGUCCAUGAAAUAAUAUUUUUAACUUCAAUCUCAUCGAAAAGCCUUCUAGCCAUUUUCACUCUACCACAUUUCGAAUAAAAAUCCAUAAGCACGUUAAUAACUGAAACAUCCAUUCCCAUUCCUCUCCUCAAAACAUGAGCAUGAAUUUGCUUUCCUCCCCCAACAAACUGAAGCAUUGAACAAGCACUCAACACACUAGAGAGCAAGUACUUAUCAUGAACAACAUCAGUCUCCCUCAUUUGAUUAAAUAAGUUCAAUGACAAAUCGCUCCUCCCACUCUUCACAUACCCAGUUAUAAUUGUAGUCCAAGAAACGGCCGUUUUCACCAUUAAACCAUCAAAGACAAAUUUUGCAUCAUCCACACUUCCAUUUUUUGCAUAUAAAUUCAUCAGAGAUGUACCCACAUAAACAUCUCGAUCAAAACCGCUCUUAAUAACAAAACUGUGCAUUUGCUCACCCGCAUUACCACCAUCACCACCACCACCCAAUUGCGUGCAGGCACAAAUAACACUCGAUAAAAUGUAAUCGUCAGGCCUCCCAUUACCAACUUUUAAAAACCCAAUAAACACCAUCAAAGCUUCCUCCCCAUAACCUUUUUUAGUAUACAUAGAAACCAACGAAGACCACGAAACUAAAUUCCUCUCAGACAUUGUAUCAAACAACUUCCGCGCACCAUCCAAAUCAUUAGCUUUCGAAUAAUUUCUCAAAAGCAUGUUCGCAAGAAAAGUAUCACAUUGUAAGCCACUGAUGACAAUUUGUGCGUGAACUUGUUUGUAACACGUAAUACGUUCGUUGUUGAAAUUGUCAGGUAAAGGGCGUUGCAGGAACCAGGCUAACACGCUGCGUUUUGUACUGAUAUUGAAAGAUUGAAGAGAUGGGUUUCGUGGAGAAAAUGUAACCGAUUUCAAUAAGUUGGAGGAGUUGCAAUUCUUGAUUUUGUGAUGAGGCUUUCUCAGACUGUGAGUUAAGCGUUGGUGAACUCUCAUUCUAGAGCUCCCGCACGUUCAUGUUCAAAUGUUGCCGCCACUGCCUUUAGCUGUUGGUAACAGAGCUGGGAGAGACCAUCUCUGCAUCUGUCCUAGUCCAAACUCAAAUGUUAAACCUUGGGCAGAGUUUGGAGUUAACGUUUUAAGCCCAUCUAACAAUUAUUAUGAAGGGUAUGUCCUUUAACACCCCGCAAAAGUACUUAUAAAACCUCCAUUCGGUUGAAAUUACUGAACAACUAAAGGUAAGUUUUUUUUUUUAAUAGAAAUUCAAUUAAACACUUAAAUAAAUUAUUCUUUUAAAAAAUUCUUUACACAUAUCUCAUUUCAUAAUUCACAUUUAUGUUUUUGAUUUUAAUUAAUUUUUUUGAAAAGAUUAUAGAAAUAUAAACAAUAUUAUGAGAAAAAAAUAAUUUAAGACUUUAAGAUUUAUACACAUUUUAUAAAUAAAAAAUUUAAAGAAACGUUUUUUAGAGUAAAAUUCUAUGAAAAUAUGGUUAUUCUAACACAUGGGUUUGUGUUUUAUAAAUUAAAUUAAGAAAUAUAACCGCGCUUCGCGUGACUUUGGAAAAAGAAUUUAGUAUUAUCAUUUUUUCUUACUUGCACUUGAUGAAACUGGUAAAAAAUAUGAAUUGAUUUUUUUUUAAGAUGAGUUAGUCUUAUAAAACUGAUGUUAUUUAUGAGAGUUAAUUAUUUUUUUAUUAACUUUAAAAAUAUAUAUUAAUGUGUAUAGUGUAAGUGUACAAACCUUAUACCUUUUGUAGUUAUUGAUAAGUUCCAAAUUAUAUUCAACUUUCUAAUCUGUUAGAACUUUUAUAUCUUUUUUUUUUCCAACCAGCUAUAACGAACUCAAUAUCACCCACACCACAUAAACUUCUAACAACAUCUGUAAUAUUAUGAAAAAAAUAACAUAAACAUGUUAAAAUAUAAGGAUCAAUUAUUUUUAAUAUACGCUUAAAGAUUAACAAACAUUAGUAAUUAAAAAAAAACUGAGAGGAGUGUAUUAUUAUUCACACGUGUAUCAAUCAAAUUCGGAGAUAUGAAUUGGAAUCCAUUGAUUGAUCAAUCAAAUUCGGAGAUAUGAAUUGGAAUCUAUUGAUCAGAAUCUUAACAAUUCCUUCUUCUAACCUCUUAAGUGAAGUUAUAACCAAGAAAAUAAUAUUAUACUGAUUUGAAAGUGGUAUGUACUCGCCAGUAGUUGAAACAACUUUCAAAUUCUUGACACUAUACAAAGAACCAUCACUCAACAUGUGCCUAAACCUUGUCACUAAAUUUUUCCUGAUUGUUGCAUGCAUUAGAUUUUUCGACAAAAAGAAAAUGCUACAUUAAGUGUAAAACAAUUGGGAAAAAAAUUAAAGAAAACAAUGGGAGAAAGAAUUUUUAUACAACCUUUUCAUCAAUAUAAAUCAUGUUCACACUAAUCAAUUCUCCAUUCUUCUUGGUAUUAACAGACUUCCACACUCUACAAAGCUUAACCCUUAUCAUCCAACUAUCUUUAUCAUUGUUCAACUCAUGAAGAAAAUAGUACUGUAUGAAGCACAAAAUACAUAUUAUUGAAUUUAAAUAGAAAGAGGAAAAGACAUGUAAUCUAAUAAUUAUUUUCUAUUUUUAAUAUUUUGUAAUGUAAUUAUUUUUUAAUCUCAACCAAUAUAUUAGACAAUAGAGAAUAUAAAAAGAUGAGAAAUAAUGAUGCCACAAAUCUUAAAUACUUAAUGUUUAUAGAGUUUGAAGAAGAUAAAAGGCACUAAACAAAAUGUUGCAUAAUUAAAUAUGAGAUUAUGACAUUGAAAUUAGGCCCUAACGGCAUUGUUGAGGGAAGAUGAAGGAAAAUUCCUUCCUAUAUUAAUUAAUUGAUUGAUAUAUUUUAAAUCACUAAAGUUUAAUUGUUGGCAUAAUAAAAUAAAUGAAUGCUUUAAGACUUAUAAUUAAUUAUUAUUAAUGGUUACAUAUUGUUGAAUUUAAAUAGAA